rnacentral:rRNA from 1 species
UACGUAGGGGGCUAGCGUUGUCCGGAAUCAUUGGGCGUAAAGCGCGCGUAGGCGGCCAGAUAAGUCCGGUGUGAAAGUCACAGGCUCAACCUGUGAAUGCCGCUGGAAACUGUCUGGCUAGAGUCCGGAAGGGGCGAGUGGAAUUCCUGGUGUAGCGGUGAAAUGCGCAGAUAUCAGGAGGAACACCAAUGGCGAAGGCAGCUCGCUGGAACGGUACUGACACUGAGGCGCGACAGCGUGGGGAGCAAACAGG